AGACACCAAUCCUCUGCUGUGAGUGGAGUCCAGACAGUGACAUCUGGAAGGAAGAGACAUUUGCACGAAGAAUAAUAAUGAAAAUAUUUUGGUCUCUGCCCAAACCGUUACUUGAAGCAAUGUGAGACUUGGCACGGGGCAGCAGCUGUGCCAUCUUCAUUUCCCUGAUAAUUAUUUCUAUCCAAGCCUCAGAAGAGUGCUCCUUGCAUUCAAUGGUUAUUGCACAGACCUUCAUAAAACCCUGAGUUGACGGACUGUUUCCAGGGACCUGAGAUUUUGCUGCAAUUUUAAGGAUUAAUUUUCUCAGAAUUCAAAAAUCUCAUGUGGGUUUGGUUUCUCAGUACAAGAUCAGUAUGACAGGGACAAAGGGGACAGUGAUUACCUUCCAACAAGACUCGAAUGAAACCAGGAUAUGGGCCCUGGGGAAAGGAAUCAACCACCAAAUGACUUUUCCUAUUCUUCCAGUUCCUGAAGUUAAAUAUAACUAAUGAUUAGUUUCACAGCCACGAUGAAGUGCAUCUUUUCAUUCAUUGCCAACUUUCUACUUCAGUUUUAUGCCACACACUCACUGACCACUAGAUUAGGUACAUUUGUACUCUUGCUCAUUAAUGCAAUAUCUAAUCAGCCAAUCAUGUGGCAGCAACUCAACUCAUAAAGGCAUGCAGACAUCGUCAAAAGGUUCAAUUCUUCUUCAGUCCAAGCAUCAAAUUGGGGACAAAAUGUAAUCUCAGUGACUUUGCAGAAUGAUUGUUGGUGCCAUAAGGGGUGGUUUGAGUAUCUCUGAAACUGCUGAUCUUUUGGGAUUUUCACUCACAGCAGUCUCUAGAGUUUUCAGAGAAUGAUGUGAUAAACAAAAAAAAAAUCUAGUGAGUGGCUGUUCUGUGGGAAAAAAAAUAUCAUUAAUGGAAAAGUUUGAGGAGAAUGGCCAAAUUGGUUCAUGCUGACAGGAAGGCAACAGUAACUUAGAUAACCUUGCAUUACAACAGUGCUGUGCAGAACACAUUGAACCUUGAAGUGGAUGGCUACAACAGCAGAGGACCACGAACAUACUUAUAUCACUUCCAAGACAAACACCAUUCUGACUUGGAUCUAUAUUAUUGUUUCUUUAUCAAAGUCCCAGAACUUCCUACCACAAAAACAUUUUUGGACUUCCAUCACUACAAGUUCUUCAGCUGCAGAAGAAAGAGACCCACUGUCCACCGAGUGAGAAGGACAAGGAACACCUCCAAAAUCGCAAGACAGUGGUAAAGAGAUUAGAAGGUUAUGGUCUCAGAACAUAAUGCAGCAAGUUGGAAUUCUUCACAGCAAGCAUCACUUACUGUAGUCACACUAUUGAUGCACCAGAAUUACACAAGUGUGCUGAAAAAUUCAAGCCGUGCUGGAUGUCCCAAGAACAAAGGACUUGUCACAGUUGUGGUCCUUUUUAAGGAUUUGUCAAUUACUAUAACAGGUCACUGUUUACUGUGCUCCACCCCCUUGAACUCAUUACUACAGAUUGGGAAGAAAUGGCAAUGGACAAAGCAGUGUGAGGUGGCUUUCCAAAAGAAAAAGGAAAUGGUGACAUCACACACUGUACUCACACAUUAUGAUCCAUGUUAUCCAGUGAGGCAUGCCUGUGACUCCUCACCUUAUGGUAUAUGUGCAGUCAUGUCACAUGUUAUGAGUGAUGGACGUGAAUAUCUCAUGGCUUUUGCAUCACAUUCCCUUUCUGUUCUAGAGAAAAAUUAUGCACAGAUUGACAGAGAGGACUUGAGUCUCGUUUGGGGUGUAAAACAUUUUGACCAGUACUUGUGUGGGAGAGUAUUUACCCUCAGUACUGAUCAUCAACCACCAGUGUCCAUUUUCAAUCCACAGAAGAGCGUUCCACUAAGACCAGCAGCACAAAUGCAGAGAUGGACUCUGUUUCUUGGAGGACACAAUGUGAAAAUCAAAUUCAAGAGGACAUCUAAUCAUAGAAAUACUGAUGGAUUGUCCCGUUUACUCUUGGAAAAGAAAAUACCUGAAACAUCUACAAAAACGUGGAAACCUCUUGACGUAUUCUCCCUAAUGCAAAUUGAAAAUCUCCCUGUAACAGCAGAAAUUGUCCAAAAGGAAACUAGAAAACAUAUCCCACACCAUCUCAGGUCUACAUUGCAAUGCUGGAAUGUGCACCAGAAAUGACAGUUUCCCCCUUUUUUACCAACACCAGGAUGAACUUGCCCUUGACAGGGGUUGCCUUAUGUGGGGCUUGAAAGUUGUAACAUCCAAGCUGUAUUUGAGAAACUACA